AUCUGCCCACCUUGGCCUCCCAAAGUGCUGGAAUUACAGGUGUGAGCCACCGUGCCUGACCCUAUUUACUUUUCUAUGUAUAGGUUUUAGUGAAAACUGUCACUAAGCAUUUUAGAGAUGAAGAAAAUGAAAUGACUGUGUUAUACACAUAGGAAUUGGCAUUUUUUGGGUUCUCACCAUCUGAAAUAGUCUUAACACAUAAGAGGCACUCAGUAAGUUAUUUGUUGAAAGAAUGAAUAAAAGAUGUGAAGAUUAUGGUUUCCUAUUGAUACUAAUAUGCCAUGCUCAUAUAAACAUACUGAUGGAUUGCGUGCUAAGUUUUUUUCUUCCCAUGCUUCUCAAAUAUCGAAAGAUGUUUAUAAAACCCUUCUAACUCUUGAACUUGGUUCCCCUAGAAAAGCAAAAGAACUAGAAUAGCUAAAACAAUUUUGAAAAGGAAGGAUAAAGUUGAAGGCAUCACACUAUCCUAUUUUAAGACUUAGUUUAUAGCUACAGUAAUCAAGUCAGUAGUAUUGGUGGAGGGACAGACAAAUAGAUCAAUGAAGUAGAGUCUAGAAAUAGACGCAUACAGCUGUGGCCAACUUUUCGACAUAAAUACAGAGCACCUUACUAGAGAAAUGAUAAUCUUUUCAACACACGGUGUUGGAAUAAUUGGACAUCUAUAGGCAAAAAAGUGAACCUUUGCCUAAACGUUACACUUUAUACAAAAAUUAACCCAAAAUGAACUAUAGAGUUAAAUGUAAAACUAUAAAACUUUUAAGAGAACACAUAGGAGAAAAUCUUCAUGACCUAGGGUUGGAAGAAGAGUUCUUAGGCAUGACAUUAAAAGCAUAACUGUGAAAGAAAAAAAUUGGUAAAUUAGACUUCAAAAUUACAAACUUUUGCUGUGUGAAUGGUUCUAACUAAGAAGAUGGAACAUGGCCAUAAAAUGGGAAAAAAUAUUUGCAAAUCACAUGACAAAAAACUUCAGAGUAAGGAGCUUGCUAAACUCAACACUAAAAAAAAAUUCACUUG